rnacentral:lncRNA from 1 species
GCGUGGCGGCGGCUGGAAGGGUAGCAGGGGCCUGUGGGGCGUCGGCCGGAACGGUAGCGAGAGAAACCUUCUCUUCUCCCCUCCUUGCGUCCUGGGCAUCUUCCUCUCCAAGUAUGUUCUAUAAUGCAGGUGAUGGGCUGCUGAUUUUAUUACGCACCUGUGCUGAUUUUGAGUGACUUCCACUUCAUUUGAUAUCUACUGUACAAGUAAUGGCACUAAUACAAUUGAUAUCAAAUUAAUGGAUUUGCUAACAGAUUGCCUCUUGUGAUGUUAAUUGAUUUGCAGGUUUACUGGUUUUGGUUCAGUUUGAAGGGCUCACCGGGCUUAAGAUCUUGGUUUCAUUAGAAUUACAGAAUUUCUUUGCUCAGUAGUCUUGCCGUCUUGCCGCUGGUGGCAGGUUUUACUUUGUGGGGUGUAGGUUCUAUUGCCGGUGACACCUCAUGAAUUUUCUUUUCAAUCUUUAAUUAGUCUUGCCGUCUUGCCGCUGGUGGCAGGUUUUACUUUGUGGGUUGUAGGUUCUAUUGCCGGUGACCCCUCAUGAAUUUUCUUUUCAAUCUUUAAUUUAUAUGGUCGUUCGCUGGAUGCUCGCUGCUAUGUAUGGUUCAUAUGGUCGCCGACUCGAAAAUCACUGCUAUCUUUGGGUCAUCAUAUGGCCGUCGACUAGACGCUCGCGGUCUGAAUGAUCUCAUUGCCUAUGGCUGGCAAUACACACUUUUCAUUACUAGCCAGCCAGGAAGGUGUCUCGGCUCGCGAUCGCUGCGCAGCGGCAGCGCUCAUUACUACCUGCCAGGCCUUCUCAAAGUGACUGAAAUUUGGUAAAUUCCAUUCCUUUGUGCUGCAUUGUACCUUCCAUGCUUUUUGCAGUCAGUGAAUCUGAUAUCAUAACCUCUCAUUUAGAAUUUUCUUGAUAGGCAAAACAACCAGUUCUCAUUUAUCUGGAUGGUUUUCAAAAUGGCAUAAUAUGUCAUUUGCACUAUCAUCGAUCUUAGUUGCUCCAGUUUUUCAUAGAUUACUAUUGUGUAGACUUUGUCUUUUCCACUUACCAUCGCCAUUUUUGUGAUGAUACUUCACUAGGAAUAUUCUUUGGUGCUUCUCAUCUGAAAAUGGAUUCAGAAUGUGGUCAGUUUUGCAAUGCAUGGGAGUUCAAUUUUUCUGCAUGCACAGUUAUAUAUUUUUAGUCCAUUGAAUUGAAAAGUGAGUGCUUCUUGGUUGUUUCUGUUGUUUAUCCAGGAGGUUCUUGGUGCUUGGUUUUUUGCUACUUGUGCAGUAUUAUACUAUGCCCAUAUAAAUGACGAAUUAUAUUUUGUUCCGCGGACGAGCAAAGUUUGUUGUCUGCGUAGUAACUUUGGUGGCGAGCCCGAGCGCCGGUGGGAGCAGGGGCCGGGUCAAGGCAGGUGUUGACGGUCUGGGAUGGUCCACGGCACCGGCAUCCAUAGCAGAAAGGCGAAGCCAAGAUGAAUCUCUCAUAUUUUUGUCAGCCAUGGAUCGGAAGAUGUAGAAGAAAAAUCCAUG